GACGAACGCUGGCGGCGUGCUUAACACAUGCAAGUCGAACGGAAAGGCCCUGCUUUUGUGGGGUGCUCGAGUGGCGAACGGGUGAGUAACACGUGAGUAACCUGCCCUUGACUUUGGGAUAACUUCAGGAAACUGGGGCUAAUACCGGAUAGGAGCUCCUGCUGCAUGGUGGGGGUUGGAAAGUUUCGGCGGUUGGGGAUGGACUCGCGGCUUAUCAGCUUGUUGGUGGGGUAGUGGCUUACCAAGGCUUUGACGGGUAGCCGGCCUGAGAGGGUGACCGGCCACAUUGGGACUGCGAUACGGCCCAGACUCCAACGGGAGGCAGCAGUGGGGAAUAUUGCACAAUGGGCGGAAGCCUGAUGCAGAAACGCCGCGUGCGGGAUGACGGCCUUCGGGUUGUAAACCGCUUUCGCCUGUGACGAAGCGUGAGUGACGGUAAUGGGUAAAGAAGCACCGGCUAACUACGUG
rnacentral:rRNA from 1 species